rnacentral:rRNA from 2 species
GGUUAAGCGACUAAGCGUACACGGUGGAUGCCCUGGCAGUCAGAGGCGAUGAAGGGCGUGCUAAUCUGCGAUAAGCGCCGGUAAGGUGAUAUGAACCGUUAUAACCGGCGAUACCCGAAUGGGGAAACCCAGUGUGAUUCGUCACACUAUCAUUAACUGAAUCCAUAGGUUAAUGAGGCGAACCGGGGGAACUGAAACAUCUAAGUACCCCGAGGAAAAGAAAUCAACCGAGAUUCCCCCAGUAGCGGCGAGCGAACGGGGAGGAGCCCAGAGCCUGAAUCAGCAUGUGUGUUAGUGGAAGCGUCUGGAAAGGCGCGCGAUACAGGGUGACAGCCCCGUACACAAAAGCGCAUGUGCUGUGAGCUCGAUGAGUAGGGCGGGACACGUGGUAUCCUGUCUGAAUAUGGGGGGACCAUCCUCCAAGGCUAAAUACUCCUGACUGACCGAUAGUGAACCAGUACCGUGAGGGAAAGGCGAAAAGAACCCCGGCGAGGGGAGUGAAAAAGAACCUGAAACCGUGUACGUACAAGCAGUGGGAGCCCCACCACCAAAGCAUUCUCUGGUGUUGAAGGCCCUGCAAAGCAGCAUCGCGGUGGCGGAGCGUCGUUUGCGACGCCCAACACACAAAACAAGCGGUGAAUGCUUUGGGGUGGGGUGACUGCGUACCUUUUGUAUAAUGGGUCAGCGACUUAUAUUCUGUAGCAAGGUUAACCGAAUAGGGGAGCCGGAGGGAAACCGAGUCUUAAUUGGGCGUUAAGUUGCAGGGUAUAGACCCGAAACCCGGUGAUCUAGCCAUGGGCAGGUUGAAGGUUGGGUAACACUAACUGGAGGACCGAACCGACUAAUGUUGAAAAAUUAGCGGAUGACCUGUGGCUGGGGGUGAAAGGCCAAUCAAACCGGGAGAUAGCUGGUUCUCCCCGAAAGCUAUUUAGGUAGCGCCUCGUGAAUUCAUCUCCGGGGGUAGAGCACUGUUUCGGCUAGGGGGCCAUCCCGGCUUACCAACCCGAUGCAAACUGCGAAUACCGGAGAAUGUUAUCACGGGAGACACACGGCGGGUGCUAACGUCCGUCGUGAAGAGGGAAACAACCCAGACCGCCAGCUAAGGUCCCAAAGUCAUGGUUAAGUGGGAAACGAUGUGGGAAGGCCCAGACAGCCAGGAUGUUGGCUUAGAAGCAGCCAUCAUUUAAAGAAAGCGUAAUAGCUCACUGGUCGAGUCGGCCUGCGCGGAAGAUGUAACGGGGCUAAACCAUGCACCGAAGCUGCGGCAGCGAACGUAUCACCCAAGACAACUUUACGGAGUUGACGAUUGACGGAGCGAAGCGACGUCAAAGCGUUCAUUAAAGUCGAGUUGGCUUAGGGAUACGUUCGUUGGGUAGGGGAGCGUUCUGUAAGCCUGUGAAGGUGUGUCGUGAGGCAUGCUGGAGGUAUCAGAAGUGCGAAUGCUGACAUAAGUAACGAUAAAGCGGGUGAAAAGCCCGCUCGCCGGAAGACCAAGGGUUCCUGUCCAACGUUAAUCGGGGCAGGGUGAGUCGACCCCUAAGGCGAGGCCGAAAGGCGUAGUCGAUGGGAAACGGGUUAAUAUUCCCGUACUUGGUGUUACUGCGAAGGGGGGACGGAGAAGGCUAUGUUGGCCGGGCGACGGUUGUCCCGGUUUAAGCGUGUAGGUGUGUGUUCCAGGUAAAUCCGGUUCACUUUAACACUGAGGCGUGAUGACGAGGCACUACGGUGCUGAAGCAACAAAUGCCCUGCUUCCAGGAAAAGCCUCUAAGCAUCAGGUAACAUCAAAUCGUACCCCAAACCGACACAGGUGGUCAGGUAGAGAAUACCAAGGCGCUUGAGAGAACUCGGGUGAAGGAACUAGGCAAAAUGGUGCCGUAACUUCGGGAGAAGGCACGCUGACACGUAGGUGAAGUGAUUUACUCACGGAGCUGAAGUCAGUCGAAGAUACCAGCUGGCUGCAACUGUUUAUUAAAAACACAGCACUGUGCAAACACGAAAGUGGACGUAUACGGUGUGACGCCUGCCCGGUGCCGGAAGGUUAAUUGAUGGGGUCAGCGCAAGCGAAGCUCCUGAUCGAAGCCCCGGUAAACGGCGGCCGUAACUAUAACGGUCCUAAGGUAGCGAAAUUCCUUGUCGGGUAAGUUCCGACCUGCACGAAUGGCGUAAUGAUGGCCAGGCUGUCUCCACCCGAGACUCAGUGAAAUUGAACUCGCUGUGAAGAUGCAGUGUACCCGCGGCAAGACGGAAAGACCCCGUGAACCUUUACUAUAGCUUGACACUGAACAUUGAGCCUUGAUGUGUAGGAUAGGUGGGAGGCUUUGAAGUGUGGACGCCAGUCUGCAUGGAGCCGACCUUGAAAUACCACCCUUUAAUGUUUGAUGUUCUAACGUGGACCCGUAAUCCGGGUUGCGGACAGUGUCUGGUGGGUAGUUUGACUGGGGCGGUCUCCUCCUAAAGAGUAACGGAGGAGCACGAAGGUUGGCUAAUCCUGGUCGGACAUCAGGAGGUUAGUGCAAUGGCAUAAGCCAGCUUGACUGCGAGCGUGACGGCGCGAGCAGGUGCGAAAGCAGGUCAUAGUGAUCCGGUGGUUCUGAAUGGAAGGGCCAUCGCUCAACGGAUAAAAGGUACUCCGGGGAUAACAGGCUGAUACCGCCCAAGAGUUCAUAUCGACGGCGGUGUUUGGCACCUCGAUGUCGGCUCAUCACAUCCUGGGGCUGAAGUAGGUCCCAAGGGUAUGGCUGUUCGCCAUUUAAAGUGGUACGCGAGCUGGGUUUAGAACGUCGUGAGACAGUUCGGUCCCUAUCUGCCGUGGGCGCUGGAGAACUGAGGGGGGCUGCUCCUAGUACGAGAGGACCGGAGUGGACGCAUCACUGGUGUUCGGGUUGUCAUGCCAAUGGCACUGCCCGGUAGCUAAAUGCGGAAGAGAUAAGUGCUGAAAGCAUCUAAGCACGAAACUUGCCCCGAGAUGAGUUCUCCCUGAGACUUAGAGUCUCCUGAAGGAACGUUGAAGACGACGACGUUGAUAGGCCGGGUGUGUAAGCGCAGCGAUGCGUUGAGCUAACCGGUACUAAUGAACCGUGAGGCUUAACCUU